AUGGCGUCUCCGUCCUCCUCGCCGGCCCUGCCGCCGGCGCCUUGGGACCCGGUGCUCCUCACCGGCCUGCAUGCCGCUCCUAUGCCGAACAAUUACACUGGAGGUGGUGAUUGGUACAUGGACACCGGUGCUACGGCUCACAUGUUUGCUCAUCCUGGUAACCUUGCCUCCUUCACUCCUGUCUCCACCGACCGCCGCAUCAUUGUCGGCGACGGUUCCACGCUUCCUAUCCCACAUGUUGGGCACACUUCUUUUCCUUCUACUUCUACUCCAUUAUCUUUGUCUAACAUACUUGUGUCACCUCAUCUUAUUAAGAAUCUCAUUUCCGUUUGUUGUGUCACUCGUGAAAACCCUGUUACCGUUGAAUUUGACGAGCUUGGUUUUUUGUCAAAGAUGCUCGAACCAGGAUGGUACUUCACCGAUGUGACAGCCCCGACGAGCUCUAUCCGGUGCACUCGCCUUCAUCCUCCACCACCGCACCGGUUGCUCUCUCCGCUGGCGUCGAUCUCUGACACACUCGCUUGGGUCAUCCCAACCCCGUCACACUUCGUCAUAUUCUUAGGAGUUUCAGUUUCAGUUACAAUAAGAUUGAGGAUCGCACUUGUCAUGCAUGUCAAGUCGGUAAACAUGUUCGCCUACCGUUUAAUAAUUCCACUACCAUUGCUUCUUUUCCUUUUCAGUUGA
rnacentral:rRNA from 1 species